rnacentral:rRNA from 1 species
AUUGGCCUACGGGGCGCAGCAGUGGGGAAUAUUGCACAAUGGGGGAAACCCUGAUGCAGCGACGCCGCGUGAAGGAUGAAGUAUUUCGGUAUGUAAACUUCUCUCAGCAGGGAAGAAAAUGACGGUACCUGACUAAGAAGCCCCGGCUAACUACGUGCCAGCAGCCGCGGUAAUACGUAGGGGGCAAGCGUUAUCCGGAUUUACUGGGUGUAAAGGGAGCGUAGACGGAUAAGCAAGUCUGAUGUGAAAAUCCGGGGCCCAACCCCGGAAUUGAAUUGGA